rnacentral:rRNA from 1 species
UACGGGGGGGGCAAGCGUUGUUCGGAAUUACUGGGCGUAAAGGGCUCGUAGGCGGCCAACUAAGUCCGACGUGAAAUCCCCAGGCUUAACCUGGGAACUGCGUCGGAUACUGGAUGGCUUGAAUCCGGGAGAGGGAUGCGGAAUUCCAGGUGUAGCGGUGAAAUGCGUAGAUAUCGUGAGGAACACCAGAGGCGAAGGCGGCUACCUGGACAAUUGCUGACGCUCAGGCAUGAAAGCGUGGGGAGCAAACAGG